rnacentral:rRNA from 1 species
UAUGUGAUCGUCUCUCGCAUAUCAAUAAGCGGAGGAAAAGAAACUAACAAGGAUUCCCCUAGUAACGGCGAGUGAAGCGGGAAGAGCUCAAAUUUGAAAUCUUAAAGGGUUUCCCUUUACGAAUUGUAGUUUAAAGAAGUGUUUUCUGUUGAGGUUUUGGUAAAAGUUCUUUGGAAUAGGACAUCAUAGAGGGUGAGAAUCCCGUAUUUGACCUUUACUUUCAACUUUGUGAUACACUUUCAAAGAGUCGGAUUGUUUGGGAAUGCAGUCCAAAAUGGGUGGUAAAUUUCAUCUAAAGCUAAAUAUUGGCGAGAGACCGAUAGCGAACAAGUACCGUGAGGGAAAGAUGAAAAGAACUUUGAAAAGAGAGUUAAACAGUACGUGAAAUUGUCAAAAGGGAAGCGUUUGACACCAGUGUUGUUUUUCUGAAAAUCAAUUAAAGAACUGUUUAUGCUAAGUUGUUUAGACUUUAUCAGCUAACUGUUUAGUCUUGAGCUUUUCUUUAAUGCACUUUUCAGUUAACAAGUCAACAUCAAUUUCUUUUGCUGUAAAAAAGCUUGAGGAAGGUGGCUUGAGAUUCGUCUUAAGUGUUUAUAGCCUCUUGCCUAUGCAGUCGGAGAGAUUGAGGUCUGCAGCGUAGAUCCUUCGGGGCUAAAUGCAUUUGUGCUAAGUUAUAGCAUUUUAUAGACAACUUGUUGACUAUGAUUUGUCUUGUAGCUUACUCGCUUAUGUUAUUUUACCUACGCUUAGGAUGUUGAUCUACAGAGCGAGAGU